rnacentral:rRNA from 1 species
GUGACCUGCGGAGGAUCAUUAAAGAGACGUUGCCCUUCGGGGUAUACCUCCCACCCAUUGUUUAUUAUACCUUUGUUGCUUUGGCAGACCCGGCUUCGGCCCACCGGCUCCGGCUGGUCAGUGUCUGCCAGAGGACCUAAAACUCUGUUUGUUAAUAUUGUCUGAGUACUAUAUAAUAGUUAAAACUUUCAACAACGGAUCUCUUGGUUCUGGCAUCGAUGAAGAACGCAGCGAAAUGCGAUAAGUAAUGUGAAUUGCAGAAUUCAGUGAAUCAUCGAAUCUUUGAACGCACAUUGCGCCCUCUGGUAUUCCGGGGGGCAUGCCUGUUCGAGCGUCAUUACAACCCUCAAGCUUUGCUUGGUAUUGGACAUUGCCAGUUUCUGGCAGGUCUUAAAAUCAGUGGCGGUGCCAUUUGGCUUCAAGCGUAGUAAUUCUUCUCGCUUCGGAGAUCCAGGUGGUUACUUGCCAAUAACCCCCAAUUUUUUCAGGUUGACCUCGGAUCAGGUAGGGAUACCCGCUGAACUUAAGCAUAUCAAUAAGCGGAGGA